GUUUCCAUCUACUUCUAUAAUGGCAAACUUUAUGUUUUAAUUAUACAAUGUUUUAUUGUUAUGUACACAAAGCCAUUGUCAUAUUUCUUGCAGUUACCAUACGUGAUCCUAAAAUACAGUACGUUCAUCAACUUGAAACUAAAGGUUUACCCCUAUUUAAAUCUCAUGUGUGUGUUUUCUACUCUGCACACAGAGAACAAUAGUCCAAAAGAAAUAUGAGCUAUUUGCUUUAAGAUGCCUUAUUAGACAGGGAUUGAAAUUCUGUUGGAGUUAUAGCCUAAGCAGUGUGCACAAGGGCAUACUUAUGGGUGACAUUGAGCCAGCUCUUAAUAUCACAGCAUGGCAUUCCUGCACUCGAAAG